rnacentral:lncRNA from 1 species
UACCAUCAUUUACGGGGAAUACAUUUGGGAAAAUUUGUUUCUCUCUCAACCAUCCUGCCGCCUUCCCCCUCCCUUGUGCAGUCACCUUGCCGCUUUCUUCAUCCCUCUUCGCCGUCAGUAGCAGUGAUGAGCGGCAACGCCCGCCACCUCCUCGCUAACGCAGUUCAACACAGUAGGCUGGACCAAGGCUUCGGUCGUCGGGAUCUGCUUGUCGACGCACGCGAUCGCCGCUAACUUCACGUAACGGGCCCGUCAAAGCACACGGCUGUCGCCGUUCUUGGUCCGAUCGCGCGUCCCCGUGCUUGCUGCCCAUCUCGCCGAUCAAGGCGAGGAUCUAGGUUCGCGAUUUUCCCUGUUCGGCGGCUAACAACAAAGGUAGGGUUUUUGAUCUCUUUCACAAUUUUGAGAAUUUUUUUGAACAAAUCUAGUGCGUCGUUUUUAAUUUUCUCAAAAUGUUUAUUGUGAAAUUAUUAUUUGAUAAGCAUCUUAUUUUGUUUUUCUGUAAUACGUGCAAAAUAUUUCUUUGGUUGUUCAAUUUAAUCUCCAUAUUUGUAAUGAUUUUGGUGUUGGGCUUAUCCAUCUUUUAUGCAUUUUAUAGGAUUGAUGUUGCUGCUACCACGUACUUAAAUUGCAAGCCUGCGGUUGGAAGUGCAGCUGAAAACAAGUAGGAGUAGUUUUAUAGUCGACUCCAUUUAACUCGGACAUCAUCGGCAUUUUGCAAUGAUGGGACACAAAAUAUUGCAAACUGCAGGAACUGUUCGUUUACAAAAAUAUGUUCUGUUCAUUUAUAAAUUGUAUUCUGUUCAUUUACAAAUUGUAUAUUCAUGAAUAAUAUACUUUUUUCAGUGUACCAUUUUUAUUAUUUAUACUUUGUGAGUAAAAAUUGUGUUAUGUUAAUUAAAAAA